GGAUGAGUAUUGCGCAAUGGGCGAAAGCCUGACGCAGCGACGCCGCGUGGGGAUGAAGGUCUUCGGAUUGUAAACCCUUCGGUUGGGAGAGCAGGCCUAGACCAACUAAGGCGGGAGCGGUACCGCCAGAAGCAGCCACGGCUAACUUCGUGCCAGCAGCCGCGGUAAUACGAAGGGGCGUAGCGUUGCUCGGAAUCACUGGGCGUAAAGCGCACGUAGGCGGACUCUUAAGUCGGUGGUGAAAUCCUGGAGCUCAACUCCAGAACUGCCUUCGAUACUGAGAGUCUCGAGUCCGAGAGAGGUGAGUGGAACUGCGAGUGUAGAGGUGAAAUUUCGUUAGAUAUUCGCAAGAACACCAGUGGCGAAGGCGGCUCACUGGCUCGGUACUGACGCUGAGGUGCGAAAAGCGUGGGGAGCAAAACA
rnacentral:rRNA from 2 species